UGGUUUGUCGCGUUGUCCGUGAAAUCUCACGGCUUAACUGUGAGCGUGCGGGCGAUACGGGCAGACUUGAGUACUGCAGGGGAGACUGGAAUUCCUGGUGUAGCGGUGGAAUGCGCAGAUAUCAGGAGGAACACCGGUGGCGAAGGCGGGUCUCUGGGCAGUAACUGACGCUGAGGAGCGAAAGCGUGGGGAGCGAACAGGAUUAGAUACCCUGGUAGUCCACGCCGUAAACGGUGGGUACUAGGUGUGGGUUUCCUUCCUUGGGAUCCGUGCCGUAGCUAACGCAUUAAGUACCCCGCCUGGGGAGUACGGCCGCAAGGCUAAAACUCAAAGAAAUUGACGGGGGCCCGCACAAGCGGCGGAGCAUGUGGAUUAAUUCGAUGCAACGCGAAGAACCUUACCUGGGUUUGACAUGCACAGGACGCCGGCAGAGAUGUCGGUUCCCUUGUGGCCUGUGUGCAGGUGGUGCAUGGCUGUCGUCAGCUCGUGUCGUGAGAUGUUGGGUUAAGUCCCGCAACGAGCGCAACCCUUGUCUCAUGUUGCCAGCGGGUAAUGCCGGGGACUCGUGAGAGACUGCCGGGGUCAACUCGGAGGAAGGUGGGGAUGACGUCAAGUCAUCAUGCCCCUUAUGUCCAGGGCUUCACACAUGCUACAAUGGCCGGUACAAAGGGCUGCGAUGCCGCGAGGUUAAGCGAAUCCUUUUAAAGCCGGUCUCAGUUCGGAUCGGGGUCUGCAACUCGACCCCGUGAAGUCGGAGUCGCUAGU
rnacentral:rRNA from 1 species